rnacentral:rRNA from 1 species
AACGAACGCGGGCGGCGUGCUAACACAUGCAAGUCGAGCGAGGCCCCUCCUUCGGGAGGGUGUCCUAGCGGCGAACGGGUGAGUAACACGUGGGCAACCUGCCCCUAGCACUGGGAUAACCCCGGGAAACCGGGGCUAAUACCGGAUACGACCUUCAGAGGCAUCUUCGAAGGUGGAAAAAGGUUACUGGCUAGGGAUGGCCCCGCGGCCUAUCAGCUUGUUGGUGGGGUAACGGCCUACCAAGGCGACGACGGGUAGCCGGCCUGAGAGGGCGACCGGCCACACUGGGACUGAGACACGGCCCAGACUCCUACGGGAGGCAGCAGUGGGGAAUAUUGCACAAUGGGCGAAAGCCUGAUGCAGCGACGCCGCGUGAGGGAUGACGGCCUUCGGGUUGUAAACCUCUUUCAACAGGGACGAAGCGCAAGUGACGGUACCUGCAGAAGAAGCACCGGCCAACUACGUGCCAGCAGCCGCGGUAAUACGUAGGGUGCAAGCGUUGUCCGGAAUUAUUGGGCGUAAAGAGCUCGUAGGCGGUUUGUCGCGUCGGCUGUGAAAACCUGGGGCUCAACCCCGGGCCUGCAGCCGAUACGGGCAAACUAGAAUUCGGUAGGGGAGACUGGAAUUCCUGGUGUAGCGGUGAAAUGCGCAGAUAUCAGGAGGAACACCGGUGGCGAAGGCGGGUCUCUGGGCCGAUAUUGACGCUGAGGAGCGAAAGCGUGGGGAGCGAACAGGAUUAGAUACCCUGGUAGUCCACGCCGUAAACGUUGGGCGCUAGGUGUGGGCUCCAUUC